GUCUCCAUAGCGAACCGCGCAUGCGCAGUGCGCGCCGGCGGCCGCCAUCUUGGGGCCUGGCCGCCAUUUUGGGUCGAUUCGGGGCAGUUUUGGGUUUUUGGGGUUAAAAAAGAGCAAUUUUGGAGGCACGGGUCGCCGUCUCGGGUUGUGGGUGGGGGUUUGGGGGCGGUCGGGACGUUAUGGGGGUGAAUUAAAGCCGUUUUGAGGUUAUUUGACUCCUUUUUGGUGCUGGAAUCCGUUUUGGGUCCAAAAAUGCCAUUUUUGGGCAAAUUACCCAAUUUUGGUAACCAUGGAUCCAUUUUAGGCCCCAAAAUACCAUUUUUUGGGAACCAGAAUCCAUUUUGGGGUCAAAAAUGCCAUUUUUGGGGGUCAUUUUUCCCUUUUUGGUGCUGGAAUCCAUUUUAGGCCCCAAAAAUGCCAUUUUUGAGGUAAAUUCCUCCAUUUUGGGUCCAAAAAUGCCAUUUUUGGGGUCAUUCGUUCCCAUUUUUGGGGGUGAAUUCCUCCAUUUUGGUUCUGAAAAAUGCCAUUUUUGGGUCAUUCGUUCCCAUUUUUUUCGCACCAAACCCCAUUUUGAGUCCAAAAAUGCCAUUUUUGGGCAUAAAUCCCUCCAUUUUGGGUCCAAAAAUGCCAUUUUUGGGUCAUUUGGUCCCAUUUUUUGGGGUACAAAACCCCAUUUUUAGUCCAAAAAUGCCAUUUUUGGGUCAUUCGUUCCCAUUUUUUUCGCACCGAACCCCAUUUUGAGUCCAAAAAUGGCAUUUUUGGGCAUAAAUCCCUCCAUUUUGGGUCGAAAAAUGCCAUUUUUGGGGUGAAUUCCUCCAUUUUGGGUCCAGAAAUGCCAUUUUGGGGGUAAAUUCCUCCAUUUUGGGUCCAAAAAUGCCAUUUUUGGGGUCAUUCGUUCCCAUUUUUGGGGGUGAAUUCCUCCAUUUUGGUUUCGAAAAAUACCAUUUUUAGGUCAUUUGUUCCCAUUUUUUCCGCACCAAAACCCAUUUUGGUCCAAAAAAUGCCAUUUUUGGGUCAUUUGGUCCCAUUUUUUGGGGUACAAAACCCCAUUUUGAGUCCAAAAAUGCCAUUUUUGGGUCAUUCGUUCCCAUUUUUUUUUCGCACCGAAUCCCAUUUUGGGUCCAAAAAUGGC
ensembl:lncRNA